rnacentral:rRNA from 1 species
AGUGAACGCUGGCGGUAGGCCUAACACAUGCAAGUCGAACGGCAGCACAGGAGAGCUUGCUCUCUGGGUGGCGAGUGGCGGACGGGUGAGGAAUACAUCGGAAUCUACUUUUUCGUGGGGGAUAACGUAGGGAAACUUACGCUAAUACCGCAUACGACCUACGGGUGAAAGCAGGGGACCUUCGGGCCUUGCGCGAUUGAAUGAGCCGAUGUCGGAUUAGCUAGUUGGCGGGGUAAAGGCCCACCAAGGCGACGAUCCGUAGCUGGUCUGAGAGGAUGAUCAGCCACACUGGAACUGGGACACGGUCCAGAGUCCUACGGGAGUCAGCAGUGGGGAAUAUUGGACAAUGGGCGCAAGCCUGAUCCAGCCAUACCGCGUGGGUGAAGAAGGCCUUCGGGUUGUAAAGCCCUUUUGUUGGGAAAGAAAUCCAGCCGGCUAAUACCUGGUUGGGAUGACGGUACCCAAAGAAUAAGCACCGGCUAACUUCGUGCCAGCCGCCGCAGUAACAC